AGGUCAGGACACGGUAAGGAUUGACGGACUGAAGGCUCUUUCUCGAUUCCGUGGAAAGUGGUGCAUGGCCGUUUUUGGUUGGUGGAUCGAUCCGUCUGGUUAAUUCCGUUAACGAACGAGACCUCGGCACUCCGAAUAGCGCGGCGGACGUCGCGGCCUCCGGGCCGUCUUCCGCACGAGCUUCUUAGAGGGACCGUCCCCCGCCGGGGAAGGAGGUGCGAGGCAACGACAGGUCUGUGAUGCCCUUAGAUGUUCUGGGCCGCACGCGCAUUACACUGACGCGUCCAACGGGUGACUCCCGACCCGAAGGGGCCGGGGAAUCCGCAAGGCGCGUCGUGAUGGGGAUUGAACGUUGCAAUUGUUGUUCACGAACGAGGAAUUCCUAGUAGGCGCGGGUCAUCAACCCGCGCCGAUUACGUCCCUG
rnacentral:rRNA from 1 species